UGGGGAAUAUUGGGCAAUGGGCGAAAGCCUGACCCAGCAACGCCGCGUGGAGGAAGAAGGUUUUCGGAUCGUAAACUCCUGUCCUAAGAGACGAGGAAGAGACGGUAUCUUAGGAGGAAGCCCCGCGUAACAUACGUGCCAGCAGCCGCGGUAAUACGUAGGGGCGAAGCGUUGUCCGGAAUGAUUGGGCGUAAAGGGCGCGUAGGCGGCCCGGUAAGUCUGGAGUGAAAGUCCUGGCUUUAAGUUGGGAAUUGCUUUGGAUACUGUCGGGCUUGAGUGCAGGAGAGGUUAGUGGAAUUCCCAGUGUAACGGUGAAAUGCGUAGAGAUUGGGAGGAACACCAGUGGCGAAGGCGACUAACUGGACUGUAACUGACGCUGAGGCGCGAAAGUGUGGGGAGCAAACAGGAUUAGAUACCC
rnacentral:rRNA from 1 species